AAUUUAAACCGCGCCGAGGCCGUUGGAGGUGUGCGGGGGUUUUGCGGCGCCUCCCGAGCGGAGGGUCUGGCAGGACUAGCGGCCGGUCCCGCGGAGUCCCUCGUGCUGUCCGUCCGGUGCUCCGGAUAGCAGCGGGUAAAGCUGCAAGGUCAGACUUACGAACUGGAGAAGAGGAAGAGGAUUUGGCACUCGUGCCAUCCACGCUUGAGUGCUGUGUGUUGUCUCUGUUGCUCAGCGCCACUGGACAUACAUGUUUUUGCAUACUGGAAAAACACCCCAAGCCUCGCUACUGGCUGGAUGUGGGUGUGUGGAGGUACAGUAGCCUUGCAUCUAUUAAGCGUACAUCUUUCUACCCGAGGAACCUGUUGUCUGACCUGAAUGAGUAGCAAUAGAAGAGUGAGAUUCCGCUCCUGGGUGGGUCCAAUCAGCUUUAUGACAAAGUUAAUAAGUGUCAUAUUAUUGCAUUCAGUGUAUUCGCCAUCUUCAUCCAUUCCACUCCUCACAUCUACUACAUGCAAGAUCUUGACUACCUGGGGAAAGAAAUAUUGCACAUUAUUGCACCAGCACAGACAGCUUCAGGUGAUUCCUUCCACCAAUUGCUCACCAGUUGGAUGAUGGCUUCUGGUGACUCAUAACUCACCCAGGUCCAAGUGCAUGCCCAGCAGCACCCGGAAGGGC